UUCCCUGGCACUAUAAGUGUCCUAAAGGGUUGUCGUAGACUACGACGUUGAUAGGCAGGGUGUGUAAGUGCUGCGAGGCAUUGAGCUAACCUGUACUAAUUGCCCGUGAGGCUUAACCAUACAACACCCAAGGGGUUU
rnacentral:rRNA from 1 species